CUCCAUUGCAAGUUGAUUGAAGACAGUGACUCUCCUUGCCGCCUUGACAUCCAUUAUAAUACUAUACACACAGCAAAUCAUGGGUUAGUCAAAGCAGGCGCUUGCUUCCAUUCAGACAAAUCUUGCCAAGAUAGGAAAUCCAAAUGCAAAAUUACAAUUCAGUAUAUCCAUCAAAUUCAAAUUUCUGAUCUCCAAAUACAAUUCCUCUAUUGCAUGCCACAAAGAAACAAGUAUCCAAAUGUGCAAAAAUUGAGCUUCGAAAUCCAACCACUUGGAUACCAUCUGAGGCUGUCUCAACCAAUAUCUGAGAUUCUACUAACAAGUACUAGAUACCAGCGGUUGAAAAGAACACAUAAAAACCUGUAAAUCAUAACCAUAUUCGAGAGGCAACAAUAAUCAAACUUCACUAUAGCCAGAAAUUUCCUAGAAUACCCUCAGAAAACCUACUUUUCAUGUAGCAGAAACCUUAUAUUUCUGAUUCUGUAAAACCCAAGAUAAGUCCAGAAAACCCACCUAUUGUUGAAGAUCCUACUUAUUGACCGAUUAAAAAACUAAAGACUUAGAUUCCAAAAUGGGAAAUAACAAUUAACAAAUCUUCUCUAAAAAAACU
rnacentral:lncRNA from 1 species